rnacentral:lncRNA from 1 species
UUAUUGAGGUCGAAUGCAGUAUGUAAUAUGUACACGUAUGUAUAGUAUCAUGGAAGAUCUAGACUUGCGUCCCCGUUAUAUUUCGGUAAAAGAUAUAACCAUGAUACCCAGAUGAUAAGCAGCAUAAAGACCGAAUAUCUCAGAACCUCGGCAAUCUCUCAAACGAAAUUUCGGUACUAAGACCAUAUGCCAAUGAAUGGUUCCCACCUGGUCUUCAGUCGAUUAAGGUUUAUAUCACCCUGCACACUUUAAAAUGAUUGUGAGCCUACCGAUACAUCUUAUAUAGAGCUGCUUAUCGUUUUUCAUUUAAGGUUUAAAGAGGUUUGGAUAGACCACUGAUGUACUAUCAUUUUCUCUUUUGCUCGCCAGGAAACUCAUUUUUGUUUUUCUAUUAUUUUGGAUUUACUCCCCCUAAAAUCAAUAAACUAAGAGAAAUUUAAAACACAAAGAUAUUUACAAAAAUGAUUUUCCGAUGUAGGUUUUACUCUUGCUUGACCUUGAUGCCGU